rnacentral:rRNA from 1 species
CCUUCCGUAGGGGGAACCUGCGGAAGGAUCAUUACUGUGAUUUAGUACUACACUGCGUGAGCGGAACGAAAACAACAACACCUAAAAUGUGGAAUAUAGCAUAGUCGACAAGAGAAAUCUACGAAAAACAAACAAAACUUUCAACAACGGAUCUCUUGGUUCUCGCAUCGAUGAAGAGCGCAGCGAAAUGCGAUACCUAGUGUGAAUUGCAGCCAUCGUGAAUCAUCGAGUUCUUGAACGCACAUUGCGCCCCUCGGCAUUCCGGGGGGCAUGCCUGUUUGAGCGUCGUUUCCAUCUUGCGCGUGCGCAGAGUUGGGGGAGCGGAGCGGACGACGUGUAAAGAGCGUCGGAGCUGCGACUCGCCUGAAAGGGAGCGAAGCUGGCCGAGCGAACUAGACUUUUUUUCAGGGACGCUUGGCGGCCGAGAGCGAGUGUUGCGAGACAACAAAAAGCUCGACCUCAAAUCAGGUAGGAAUACCCGCUGAACUUAAGCAUAUCAAUAAGCGGAGGAA